rnacentral:ncRNA from 2 species
GAUUUAUAAAGAAGGAAGGGAGAGGUUAGGCUCUAUGAUCUUCUGGCAACCUAAAACUUUUAAGGUGCCCCAACCUAAUUCUAUUGAUAAAUC